UGGGGAAUAUUGGACAAUGGGGGCAACCCUGAUCCAGCAAUGCCAUGUGUGUGAAGAAGGCCUUCGGGUUGUAAAGCACUUUAGUGGGGGAGGAAAGGAGUUGAGUUAAUACCUCAAUUCAUUGACAGUACCUCAAGAAUAAGCACCGGCAAACUCUGUGCCAGCAGCCGCGGUAAUACAGAGGGUGCAAGCGUUAAUCGGAAUGACUGGGCGUAAAGGGCGAGUAGGCGGUUGGAUAAGUUAGAUGUGAAAGACCUGGGCUUAACCUGGGAGGUGCAUUUAAUACUGUCUGGCUUGAGUAUUGUAGAGGUAACGGGAAUUUCCGGUGUAGCGGUGAAAUGCGUAGAUAUCGGAAAGAACACCAAUGGCGAAGGCAAGUUACUGGACAAAUACUGACGCU
rnacentral:rRNA from 1 species